rnacentral:lncRNA from 1 species
GGAAAGCAAUAAAUGAAAAGGAAGAAAAAGGAACCUAAAUAUCUACCCCAGUCAAUUCAAAAACGGCUGGAUACCAUUAAUUCUCUUGAUUUGUUAUUUCAAAAUUCAAUCCAUUCUGACGAUAGUAGUUUCCAAGGAUAAGACUUUACUUGAUAUCAUCUUUUGAAAUCAUUUCCCUCAAACACUCCUUCAGUCUGUAUUUUUUAGCCAUCUUCUCUGCAAAGCGAAAAUAUGGUGCUUUAGCUCUUCUCCCAUCAGGUAAAAGGUUUCUCCUCUAUCAAGAGCGUCUUUUGCUAGUCUAUAUGCAUGCGAGUUCCCUAAUCUGUGAAUAUGCUGAAAGAUAAUCUCUUGAAAACAAGGUUUCUUAUUCUGAAUGUCUUUGAUAAUAGCUUCAAUCACUGAUUUAUUUGUUAAAUUCAUUUGGUAUUUUUUGAUUAUUAUUUUGGAGUCCCUAUAAGUUUAACCGAUUGAAGUCCCAGUGAGAUCCCUAACUUUGUGCCUUCUAAACAUGCAUACGCUUUUGCUGCAAAUGGGGAGGAAAUAUUAUUGUGAAUGAUCGUCUUUAAGACCAGUAGUUCCCCCCUCAGAUCCUAACCCACCAGACCUGCUGCUGAUUUGAAGUUUCUACUAUCAAACGCUGCAUCGAAAUGGAUCGUUAUUCUCGGUAUGUCCUCCUGGAUUCUGUAAUUUCUGUUCAUAUUAGCAGGAAUCUUAAUUGCUUUCAUUCCUUCAUAUUUUGCCAUAUGCCUCUGUAUGUUUUGUGCUAAAACUACUCCUGUUGUACUUUUCCCCUCAUGUAUGAAUUGAUUUCUGGAAAACCAUAUUAACCAUAAAGCAUAACAGAAGAGUCGGCAUUGAGCGUCGUUACCUCUCUUGAAAAUCCAAGUUAGCCACUCCCUUAGAAUUUGAUUCAUAUUAUUCAUGACCCAGGACAAAUUUAAAAACUGCCAAACUUCUGUUGUUGUAGGACAUUCACGGAAGAUAUGAAGGCUAUCUUCUGCCCAGGAGCAGCAACGGGGACAUCUGUCGUUUGAAAUGACUUCUCUGUACCUGAGAUUAGCAAGAUUAGGAAUAAAAUCCCAGGAAAUUCGCCAAAUAGUGAUUACGAUUUUUGAAGGUAGCUGGAGGCUCCAUAAUUUCCUGUAAAAUUCUUUAGUUUCGGUCUAUAAUAAAUAAUUAGUAGGAUCCAGAAUAGCAUAUUGUAACUGCGUAUUGAAUACUCGCCGGAUAAUUCUCCUUUCCAGACUUGAGUAACCUCGUGAUCAGUCUCUGCAAGAGGGAUCUGUAGAAUUUUUUGAGCAAUUUCUGCUUGAAAGGUACUAUUAAUCAAAUCCGACCUCCAUUUUCUGUUUGUAUUAUCAAUAAGAUCCGAGACUAACUGUAAUUCCCUAUUGUUUGAUCUAUUAUGUCCAUCAACUGUAUCAAUCCCCCGUAUCCAGCUAUCUUCCCAAAUAGAAAUUUUGUCUCCUUUGCCCACUCUCCAGCACAUCCCUUUUUGGAGAAGUCCCUUUGCUGCCCAAAUACUCUUCAGGUAAGUGAAGGUAAAUUUCCCAAACUCUGCAUUUAGAAAACUUGAUUGCGGAUAGUACUUUGCUUUUAAAACUCUGGCUAAUAAAGAAUUUGGAUAAUUAAUAAGGCGCUAACCCUGUUUGGCUAAUAAUGCAAUAUUAAAUUGACCAAGAUUUCGAAAACCUAAACCACCAUUUUCUUUUAAGGAACAAAGGUUUUUCCAAAUGCACCAAUAAAUUCCCCUUUUUCCAUGUCCCUUUUGCCACCAGAACCUCGCAACGAUACUUUUGAGUUCAUCACAUAAAACUUUAAGUAAUAAAAAACAAGCCAUCGUGUAAUCACAUAAAACUUUAAGUAAUAAAAAACAAGCCAUCGUGUAAGUUGGUAUAGCUUGAAGAAUGACCUUUAUAAAUACUUCCUUUCCACCCUGAGAUAUAUUGUAACACCCCUUACCCGUAUUCGACACCGGAAUAGGGUAUGAGGCAUUACUAGAACACAUACACUUAUAAACAUGUUAAACUAAGUUAUAAAAUUUUAUUCAAAUUUAAACUCUUCACGUUAUAACUUCAAAAUACUAUAUUUGUAACAAAUAGGGCAUCUAAGACCUAAUACAUAUUCAUGCAAUCCAAUAGUUCAUUUCCAUUUCAUUUAAUUCACGAUUCUCAUGUUCACGAUUUAAUUCAAUUUCUCAAUCCCAAUAUACAUUUCAAUACCACAUUAAUCAUUUAAUUCACGUACAGUUCAAUUUCAUAAAGUUCAAUACUAAUACAUAUUUAUCGUUUAACUUAAUGUCCCCUUUUUACGUCAUUUUACACUUUAAGCAUGAACUUAGUAUUUCGUUUCUUUUCCACUCCCGUUUCCUAUGCAUAUCGCACAAGAUAUAAAUAUAUCAUUCAACCAUAGUCACAAGCUAAUGCAUUUAACCAUAGUAUUUUUCGAAUUGAUCACAUGAUAAGUCAUUUCAUAAGAAAUUGCAUAAUCUAAACCUUACCACUUUUUAGUGAGCGCUAGCAUACUUUCACUUAAAUACUUUCCAAUUCAAUGCAUUAUAUAAAAAAUCAUAAUACCAUUCAACCAAUAGCUUGGCACUUGCCUAAGCAUCAAGCAAGAAUACUAGUUAGUGUACUUGCACACAUUACAUAUAAACUCAUCAUGUAUAAUUUUCUUGCUUCAACAUAUUAAAGAUAAUCAUACAUUUACAUGUCAUGAUACAUAUCAUUCUCUUAUCAUUUCUUAAUAGGCAUAUAUCAUUCAUUUCAUUAUUUCGAUAUUUCAUGUACCAUCAUUUUCAUGAAUUUCGCGUACAUACCGGUAAUAGUUUAUUUUAAACUCAUGUUAUCUCACUUCAGAACUUUACCCGUUAUAUCAUUUAAAUAUCAAUGGUUACAUUUAUUUUAGAUCAAUACCAAUAAUAAUCUUUCAAUCUUUCAAUUCAACCACAUAAGUCUUUUACCAUUUCUUUCUGUAUCGAAGAACGACUUACGAAUAUGAGUACAUCGUUUUUAGAAGCUCGAAGGCCGAACUUAAGCUCAUGAGAGCUAAGCAGAUAGUAAACACGAAAGUCCGCAACAAAUGCUAAACCUCGGUUUACUUUGGUAAUUUGCCGUCAAUUCAUCCUUUACAUUUGUAAUGCCAUAACCCAGUUAUGGUCUUAUCCGUCAAUUCAUCCUUUGGUGCAGAACGAUUGUACUCAAUCCCGCGUUCAAUCCAAACUGGGUAUUAAAUUCGAUAAUAUAUUUCCAAUAACAAUUCAAUUCCAUGUUUUCUAUUACCCUUAUUAUUUACCAAAUUUAUCCCGUUGAAUUUCUCGGAAAUUCGAUAGAUUUUCAGAGGUACACUUUUAGUGUACAAAUUCGAGUCCGUCAAUUCAUAUUCAUGUGUGCACAUUUCCAUUUCAGAUAGCACACUCCCGCGAACCUCGUUCUUAUAGCGGGAUUACCAAUCCAGGCUAAAUCCCCUGUAAGAGAGCACAUUCCCACAAACCUUAUUCCUUACAGUGGGAUUACCAGUCCAGGCUAAAUCCCCUGUAAUAUAAACUCAUAGAGUAUUGUCGGGAUUACCAGUCCAGGCUAAAUCCCCUGCAACGACAAUUACUCUAAUGAGCUUGGAUCUGAAUUACCAGUCCAAGCUAAAUUCAAACCCUAAUUCGGAUUGCUCGUCCGGGCUAAAUCCAUUUCCACAUAUUCUUUGGGAGGGCUAUAUCAAGAUCACCUGUCCGGGCUAGAUCUUUUUCACACAUAUUCUUCGGGAGGGCUAUAUCAAGAUAGGAUCACCCGUUCGGGCUAGAUCUUUUUUACCGUCAAUUCCUUUUUAGAGAUCCAUCGAAUUUUCCUUCCAUUCAACCGGGAUUUCUUCCCCUUUUUAUCAAAUAUAUCAAUGUUUCAUCAAUUUUCAUACAAUCAACAUUCAAAUCAUAUUCACAUCAAUAACAAACAUUUCAAGCAUUUAAGAAUAUAAUUCGAGUUACACGAACUUACCUCGUUACUUGUUCGUGUUUACAAUUUCACUAAUCCGAUGUCUUUUCUUUUCCACGUUCAAGUCUCGUAUUUGAGUCAUUCGGAUCUUUCUAAACAAAUUUGAUCAUCGUUUUCAUUCAUUUCAUAUUCUGAUAUAUUCAAUUAAUGCUCUAGGCAAGAUUACCAUUUUGCCCUUAAACUUUUAAUUAAUGACGAUUUUAAUCCUUGGGCUCAGAAAAAUAAAUUAUUGUAAUUUUAGUCAUUGUUUUAAACCUAAUUAUUCCCAUAAAUAUUGAUAACAACCCAUGAAUUCUAUAAGAUAUCAGAAUUUUUCAUAAUUUUAACACUUUUCAAUUUAAUCCCUAAAACAUGUUUUCAUUCGAUCUUGUUCUAAAUUUCAUUCAAUUUUGUAAUUUAAAUAAAUAAACAAUCCAUUUCAUGCAAUUUGGUCAUUUUUGACAUUUUUUAUAAAUUACCCAUAAAGUUUUACUUUUAUUCAAUUUAGUCCCUGAAUCUAAAAUGUGUAAAUUAUCCAUGCUAACUGAAUAUUAAUAUAUUUUCCUCCUCCUCCUCUCCAUUCCACAUCCUUAAUUUAUAUAACAUGUUUAUAAAUAACAUUGUCUAUGAUUUCACAAUUUACUUGUAAAUUUAUUCAAAGCUGUCCAUUUGAGUCAUAGUUGUAAUACCCAAUUUUAGCACGGGCUCACAUAUGGAAACAUAAUUUUUGAGGAUAUGCAAUCUUAGAUAUGAUAUGCAAUCCUAGAUAUGAUAUGCAAUCUUAGAUAUGAUAUAUGCAAUCUUAGAUAUGAUAUGUAAUCUUAGAAGAUAUGAUUUUGUAAUCUUAGAAAUUUAAUUUGUAGAUACCUUUUAAUCUUAGUCGUUGAUGUAAUUGAUCUGUACCGUUGGAUUUGGGGAGUCUCAACUAUAAAUAGAGGCCUCUCCCUUCAAAUUUAAAGAGGGGGGAGAAAAAGAGGAGGAAUAAAAAAAGAACGAUUGGCAGUUUUUUAAAGGUGGUUUACUAUUUUUUUCUUUCAAUUAUUUUUUUACUUAUUUACAAUUUUAAAAAAGGGAGAAGGUGAUACCACUGCGAAUUUUAUUUAUUUAUUUUAUUUAGCCCCUCCGCCUUUUAAUGUUUUUGUAAUUAAUUUUUCUUUAUUUUUUUAAUUUACCCUUUUAUUUAUUUUAAAUUCUAAUUUAAUCCUUUUGAACGACACCGUUUUAGAGGAGAAGGGAAAAUUUCCCUUCCAGCCCCUCUAUGUAAUUUGCGCGUUCAAAUUAGUCCUUUUACUUUUAUUUAUUUGCAGAUUUACCCCAAAAUUUUAAAUUGUGAUUCAAUUUAGUUUUUUAUGUUCUUUUUAUUUAUUUUAUUAAUUAAUAGUGUAAUUAUUAUUUUUAUUCUAUUUUUUAUCUAUAUAUAUUUCUUUUAUAUGUACACAUAUAUAUAUUUUAAACGAAUAUUUUUCUAUAUUCUUUUUAAUGAAUAUUUUCAUAUUUAUAUGUAUAUAUUUACAUUUUUUAAAGUAAUUAAAUACUCACCCUUUUUUUUCUUUUUUAAAAUAUACUUAUUUUUAUUAUUUUAUAUAUGUACGUAUAAUUAUAUUUUUUUUCUUUAUUUUCAUAAGUAUAUUAUGUAUUGUAUUUAUAUAUAAAUUCUAUGACCUA